rnacentral:rRNA from 1 species
AAUAGUUUGAUUUUGGCUACCAUAUUGGCUACAAUAAAAUAUAAUACAUGCAAUCCACCGACACCCCGUGAAACAUUCUCCUCCCCCUUAAAGUAUUCUCUUCCAUUUUUAAGGAUAAGUAUAACUAAUCUCCAAUUUCACGCCUGCAGUAAAGUAUUUUGCUCUAAAUUAAACUUAUAUCACAGAUAUUAUAUUAAGUGCUGACAAAAUUCGUGCCAGCCGUCGCGGUUAAACGAUAAGCACAAGCCAAUAAAAAUACGGAGAUGUACUGAUAUACACUAAACAUUAUAGUGGUACAAUACAUAUAAUAAAAUAAAACUUACCAAUAUCUCACCCACACAAAAGAAUAAACAAAAACACGGAUUAGAUACCCUUUUAUCUUAUUCCUCCACCACCUCUCCGGGCACUACGAACCCAUGUUUAAAACCUAAAAAAAUUGGCGGCACUUUAUGCUAUUAGGGGAAUCUGUCACAUUACUCGCCAAUCCACGUUAAACCCUUCUUGUUAUAGAAUUUCCAGCUUGUAUACUGCCGUCGCAAGCCCGCAUUACCUAAAAUUGCUGGCAAUACAGACUUCUCUCUGACGUCAGGUCAAUGUGCAGCCCAUUAACAAGUUUAGAUGGAUUACAAUAAACAUAAAACAGGUUGACAGUUAUCAAUCUCUGUCAUAAUAUGGACUUAACAGUAAAACGCUAAUAGUAUGAGCUAUUGAAUAUGCAAUUUAAAGUGUGCACAAAUCGCCCGUCACUCUCACCGAAAGGCGAGAUAAGUCGUAACAUAGUAGGCGUAACUGAAGUUGUGCCUU